rnacentral:rRNA from 1 species
CAGCAGCCACGGUAAUACGUAGGGUGCAAGCGUUAAUCGGAAUUACUGGGCGUAAAGCGUGCGCAGGCGGUUUUGUAAGUCUGUCGUGAAAUCCCCGGGCUCAACCUGGGAAUGGCGAUGGAGACUGCAUGGCUAGAGUGCGGCAGAGGGGGAUGGAAUUCCGCGUGUAGCAGUGAAAUGCGUAGAUAUGCGGAGGAACACCGACGGCGAAGGCAAUCCCCUGGGCCUGCACUGACGCUCAUGCACGAAAGCGUGGGGAGCAAACAGGAUUAGAUACCCCAGUAGUCCCUGUCUCUUAUAC